rnacentral:rRNA from 1 species
GACGAACCGUGCGAACGUUGUUCGGAUUCACUGGGCUUAAAGGGCGCGUAGGCGGGUCCACCAGUCAGGGGUGAAAGCUCCCGGCCCAACCGGGAAAGUGCCUUUGAUACUGUGGAUCUCGAGGGAGGUAGGGGCACGCGGAACUUCCGGUGGAGCGGUGAAAUGCGUAGAUAUCGGAAGGAACGCCGGUGGCGAAAGCGGCGUGCUGGACCUCUACUGACGCUGAGGCGCGAAAGCUAGGGGAGCGAACGGG